GGAGAGGUACCGAAGUGGCCGUAACGGGGACGACUUGAAAUCGUUUUGUCGGCGAUGAACCGGCACGUGGGUUCGAAUCCCACCCUCUCCGCCA
rnacentral:tRNA from 1 species